CAGUCCCACGGUAAUACGUAGGUGGCAAGCGUUAUCCGGAAUUAUUGGGCGUAAAGCGCGCGUAGGCGGUUUUUUAAGUCUGAUGUGAAAGCCCACGGCUCAACCGUGGAGGGUCAUUGGAAACUGGAAAACUUGAGUGCAGAAGAGGAAAGUGGAAUUCCAUGUGUAGCGGUGAAAUGCGCAGAGAUAUGGAGGAACACCAGUGGCGAAGGCGACUUUCUGGUCUGUAACUGACGCUGAUGUGCGAAAGCGUGGGGAUCAAACAGGAUUAGAUACCCCAGUAGUCCCUGUCUCUUAUACA
rnacentral:rRNA from 1 species